AUUGAACGCUGGCGGCAUGCCUUACACAUGCAAGUCGAACGGUAACGCGGGGCAACCUGGCGACGAGUGGCGAACGGGUGAGUAAUGCAUCGGAACGUGCCCAGUAGUGGGGGAUAGCCCGGCGAAAGCCGGAUUAAUACCGCAUACGACCUACGGGUGAAAGCGGGGGACCGUAAGGCCUCGCGCUAUUGGAGCGGCCGAUGUCAGAUUAGGUAGUUGGUGGGGUAAAAGCCCACCAAGCCUACGAUCUGUAGCUGGUCUGAGAGGACGACCAGCCAAACUGGGACUGAGACACGGCCCAGACUCCUACGGGAGGCAGCAGUGGGGAAUUUUGGACAAUGGGCGCAAGCCUGAUUCAGCCAUGCCGCGUGCGGGAAGAAGGCCUUCGGGUUGUAAACCGCUUUUGUCAGGGAAGAAACGCUCCGGACUAAUACUCUGGGGUAAUGACGGUACCUGAAGAAUAAGCACCGGCUAACUACGUGCCAGCCGCCGCCGUAAAAC
rnacentral:rRNA from 1 species